UUUAUUCAUCCAAAAUUCUUUUUGGAUGGUUCUGAGCUUGCGCUGGCUAGCUCGAAAUUAAUGGGGCGACGAUAGAACAGUUUAACGUUAUAUUUUAUUCUCGAUAAACUGGCCUAAGUAAGUAGCCUUAAAACAAGUUUCAAAUC
rnacentral:misc_RNA from 1 species